CUACGGGGCGCUCCAGUGGGGAAUAUUGGGCAAUGGGCGAAAGCCUGACCCAGCGACGCCGCGUGAAGGAAGAAGUCUUUCGGGAUGUAAACUUCAGUCAACAGGGAAGAAAGCAAUGACGGUACCUGUGGAGGAAGCCACGGCUAACUACGUGCCAGCAGCCGCGGUAAUACGUAGGUGGCGAGCGUUAUCCGGAUUUACUGGGUGUAAAGGGUGUGCAGGCGGGACUGCAAGUCAGAUGUGAAAACUAUGGGCUCAACUCAUAGCCUGCAUUUGAAACUGUGGUUCUUGAGGGUCGGAGAGGUAAAUGGAAUUCCCGGUGUAGCGGUGAAACGCGUAGAUAUCGGGAGGAACACCAGUGGCGAAGGCGAUUUACUGGACGACAACUGACGCUGAGACACGAAAGCGUGGGGAGCAAACAGGAUUAGAUACCCCCGUAGUC
rnacentral:rRNA from 1 species